UACGGAGGGGGUUAGCGUUGUUCGGAAUUACUGGGCGUAAAGCGCGUGUAGGCGGCUCUGCAAGUCGGAUGUGAAAUCCCACGGCUCAACCGUGGAAGUGCAUUCGAAACUGCAGGGCUAGAGUCCUGGAGAGGAAGGUGGAAUGCUUGGUGUAGAGGUGAAAUUCGUAGAUAUCAAGCGGAACACCGGUGGCGAAGGCGGCCUUCUGGACAGUGACUGACGCUGAGCCGCGAAAGCGUGGGGAGCAAACAGG
rnacentral:rRNA from 1 species